rnacentral:misc_RNA from 1 species
AAGUCGUAACAAGGUAACCGUAGGUGAACCUGCGGUUGGAUCAUUAACAAUGGUUUUCAAACCUUUAUUCUGUGCACUGUAUUGUUCUUGGUGUUUUCCGCCUCUUUCUUUAGAGAGGAGCGGAGGCACCGACAUUUUUAAACCAUGUAUUGUAUCGAGUCUUGAAUUUGUAUUAAAAUGAAAAACUUUUGACAACGGAUCUCUUGGCUCUC